GGAUUUAGUCUCUUGGAAGUGAUCUGGAGAUUUAGGAAACCCUAAUCUUGAAUUUAUUUUUAAUAACUUGAUAGGAUCUUAACGAAAAUCCCACUCUCAACAUUAUUGUGUUACAUAUGGUGAUUUGGCCUUAGCUUGUGGAAUGUGUAGGUUGAAAACCAAAAAUUUAUUUGCUAGCUAUCAGGUGACUUAUUGUGGAGAACCAAAUACCACUAUAUGCAAAAUACUGCUGAUACUAAAAAGGUCCUGAAAUACUCAGUAAUCUCUUGCUCACCAGCAAUAAUUUCAAAUGACAACAUUCAAAUGCAGUCAAUUUUGAAUUCAAUUUCACCAGUCUUAUUUUGACUUUAAAAAUUGUAUCCUAUAUAAAAAUAGAUCCAUAAUAGAGUUAAUAAUUUGCUGGUAUUUAAGGGACAUUCUUGUAUAAUUUUAAAUAAAGAUACAGCCUAUUAAAUACAUUAUUGGAGUUCAGGUGAAGAUUGAUAAAGCAUCAACAGUUUUAGAAAUAUCCCAUGUAGAUUAUUCAUUAUUUUUUUUACAGAAGAAUAGUUGUGAUGUCCUUUGCUAAUUAAUGCACUUAUUCAUGUUAUACAUUUUAGUCAACACUAGAAUAAGAUAAAUGGCAUUUAUUUAUUUUUAUUUGAAAAAUGAAAAUAAAGGUUCCAGGCUUGAUACAAAAUGAACAAUAAAACUAAAUGGGACACAAUCAGAAAUAUAUAUUAAAUGGGUUUGUGUGUGUAUUGAAGCAAAUUUGAAUUUGUCUUGCAGAGUUUUUCAGAGCUUGGUGUUAAUUAUUUGGCCUAAUAAUUUUUACUUUUCUAUAUAUAGGUAGUCCUCGAUUUACAACAGUUCAUUUAGUAACCGUUCAGUUACAACAUUACUGAAAAAAGUGACAUGACCGUUCUUCACACGACCAUUGUAGCAUCCCCAGGGUCACAUGAUCAAAAUUCAGAUGCUUGGCAAUUGACUCCUAUUUAUGAUGGUUGCAGUGUCCAGGGGUCAUGUGAUCACCUUUUGCAACCUUACAAGCAAAAUCAAUAGGGAAACUAGAUUCACUUAACAACUGUGUUAUUAACUUACCAAUUGCAGUGAGUGACUUAACAACUGUGUCGAGAAAAGUCGUACAAUGGGGCAAAACACACUUAACAAAUGCUUCACUUAGCAACAGAAAUUUUGGGUCUAAUUGUGGUCGUAAAUUGAAGACUACCUGUAUUACUGGGAAAUAGAGAUGGGAACCAACCUAAAGUUCCUUUGUGAAAUAUUUGUGGGUAUUUUUUCCCCCAAUUUCUUCAAAAUCAUUCAGUCAAAAGCAAUUGUUGUUACCAAAAAAUAGUAAUACACUCCAUUUGGUUUCUAUUAGUUGCUAUUUCUGACUGAAGGAAUUCCCAGAUAUUCCAAACAAUUAGCAAAUCCAAUCUCAGCUUCAUAAUUUUAUCAGUCAGUACAUUAAUUAAUUAUUCAUGUGAGAUAGGCUGAGCUGAGUGAGCCAGUUUGGUGUGCUUAAGAUGUUAGGCUAAAAACUGGGAAACUUCUAGUUCUGUCUUGGACAUGAAGCCAGUUGGGUGACCUUGGGACACACUGCAGGGACUAGCUACGUAGGCAGUUGCCAAGAAUCAAUGCUGACCGAUGGCACAGCAAAAAAAAAGCUGAGCUGAGUGCAACUCAGAGUCAUCCAAUGAAUUUCAGUGGUUGACGAGGAAGCUUAAACUUGAAUCUCCUCAUUGCUGUACCUUUACUUUUAAGCAGCACUGCAUCGGCUUUUAGUUUACAAGUUAUUUUAUAAAUUUGAGUCACUGGAGAGAUCAUUAUAGGAUUUCUUUGGCUUCUGGAGAAAUGUCAUGUCAUGAGCAUACACACCAAAAAGCUGGAUGCUGAAUAAGUUCCUGGAAUUGAUCUUAACCUAAAAAUAACUGCUGAAUGCUUAUAAUCUAUAUGCUACUAAAACUCAUUAUGACCUUUGAGUGAAACAGUGCAUCAUAGGGCAAGAACUUUUGAACCAAGGUACCCCAAAUAGGAUAAAUUACAGUAUAGUAUGCCUCCAAAUCUGGGACCUAUGAUUCCCAAGAGAAUGAAAUUUGGGGAAGUUGUGACUGCUUCAGUACUACUGGCUGCUACUGCAGUCACAUGAUCUUCAUUUUCAAUUUUCCAGCCAGUCUUGCAAUCCAUCGUUCCUUCCCCCAUCCAGCAGCAACCACUUAACCUGUUUGCUGGGAAGGGAUAUUUCUGAUGCUCCCUGCCAGAUUCCCACAAGGAAACAAGAUGGGGAAGCUAGCAGGAAGUCAAAAAUUGCUCUUGCUCCCACUCCUUUGUCCUCCCUCCCAUUCUGGUUGUGUGUCUAGGUAAAGAAAUACAGGUAGUCCUCAACUUACAACAGUUCAUUUAGUGACAGUUCGAAGUUACAACAGCACUGAAAAAAAUGACUUAUGGUAAUUUUUCAUACUUAAUGGCCAUUGCAGCAUCCCCAUGGUCAUGUGAUUUACACUGGAUACUUAACAAUUGACUCGUAUGACAAUUGCAGUGCCCUGGGGUCAUGUGAUCUCCUUUUGCAACCUUCUGACAAAGUCAACAGGAGAGCCAGAUUCACUUAACAAUUGUGUUACUAAUUUAAGAACAGUGAUUCACUUAACAACUGUAGAACAACCGGGAAGCUGCAACCAUUGUAAAUACAUUCCUGUCUCCAAGGGCCCCAAUUUUGGCCAUGUGGCCAUGGGGAUGCUGCUAUGGUCAUGUGAUUAUUGAUAGUAAGUCACUUUUUUCAGUGCCAUUGUAACUUUGAACAGCCACUAAACAAACAGUUGUAAAUCAAAAACUAUGACCGUGAUAGCAAGUUUUAGACAAUUAUUCAAUUACAGCUAGUCCUAAUUUAAUGACUACAAUUGAGAUCUUCAACAUAGUUGUUAGAGGAAGCAGCCAUGACUAUUAUGUUCUUAUUUCAGCUUUCUUUUGCUUUACAGACCUGCAAAAAUAGUAAAUGCAAGGAUUGGUUCUUAAGUGACUUUUUCAUCAUUUACAUGACUGAAUGGUGGCUAAAUGCAGUGCUAAAGGAGAGCUACCUGUAUAUAUUAACUACCUGAAUACUACCUGUAUUCAGAUACAGUAUCAGCAUUUAUCUGUUUUCUAAUAUAAUUGCUAACAGUGUCCCUGGAUGAGACAGCAGCCGUUGAGUGGAGACUUUUCAGAGGGAGAUCCAAACUUGAAAUUUUUCCAUCUUUGAGAAAGCUAGUCAAGAGCAGAAUAGCCUGCCUCCUGAGUUCUGGAUGCUCCAUAACUUAGAUUUUCAAAUGUGUGACAACCAUUUAUAUGGGAUGGUAUGAGGAUUCCUGCCAUGAACAGAUGUAAGGACUAAUCUUGAAGGUCUCUUCAGAGACAGGGUUUGUUUAAAAACAAUAAAUACAGCAUGGUUAGUUCAGGACCCUUAAUAGUGAUUCAUUGCUGAUAUUUUGUAAUAGUUUAGUACACGGGUGUCAAAUUUGAUCCCGUCAUGGGCCGGAUCGUGAUGUAUCAUGUUUUUUGCCUUUGUGGAGCUGGGGUGGGCAUAGUCUGCAUGUGACCUAUCCGGCCUGCGGGCCUCCAGUUUAACAGGCCUGGUCUAGUACAAUGUAGGCCCAUAAUGGGAAACAACUUUAUAAUAUGGAAAUUCCUCUGUGAUAGGACUGUAUUUUGGAUAUAUUUUCUUAUACAGAACAAAAAAGAGAAAGUGGAUGUGUAUUUUGAGGAAAAAAAUAAUUAAGUACAACACUGCAUUUAAAAAGUUUUGGAGAUUCUUUUUCUAUCUUCUCCCAUUAAACCUCCUCCAUUGAGCAUCUGUGUUUGUACAUGUAGUCAGCAUUGUGCACAUGGCAACAGCAUAAACCUGUAGAAUUCUAAUGUGAUUCUAUUGUUACUACAAAAGCAAUUACUCAAAACUGUUCUGUAGUUCACUCACAUUUAUUUUCAAAUAAAUAGAGGUAUGCAGGCAAUUAAAAUUAAAUGCCAAUUCAGCAA